rnacentral:rRNA from 1 species
AUACGUAUGAGGCAAGCGUUGUUCGGAAUUAUUGGGCGUAAAGGGCAUCUAGGCGGGAUAGUCAGUCUGUUGUAAAAGUUCGGGGCUCAACCCCGUGAAGCAAUGGAAACUGCUAUUCUUGAGUGCAGGAGAGGAAAGUGGAAUUCCCAGUGUAGCGGUGAAAUGCGUAGAUAUUGGGAGGAACACCAGUGGCGAAGGCGACUUUCUGGACUGUGUCUGACGCUGAGGCGCGAAAGCCAGGGGAGC